rnacentral:rRNA from 1 species
CUCUACGGGAGGCAGCAGUCGGGAAUAUUGCGCAAUGGAGGAAACUCUGACGCAGUGACGCCGCGUAUAGGAAGAAGGUUUUCGGAUUGUAAACUAUUGUCGUUAGGGAAGAGAAAGGACAGUACCUAAGGAGGAAGCUCCGGCUAACUACGUGCCAGCAGCCGCGGUAAUACGGAGGAUGCGAGCGUUAUCCGGAUUUAUUGGGUUUAAAGGGUGCGUAGGCGGAAGGUUAAGUCAGCGGUCAAAUGUCGGUGCUCAACACCGGCCUGUCGUUGAAACUGGUCUUCUUGAGUGAGCGAGAAGUA